rnacentral:rRNA from 1 species
UCUACAGGCUUAACACAUGCAAGUCGAGGGGCAGCAUGGUCUUAUCUUGCUAAGGCCGAUGGCGACCGGCGCACGGGUGAGUAACACGUAUCCAACCUGCCGUCUACUCUUGGACAGCCUUCUGAAAGGAAGAUUAAUACAAGAUGGCAUCAUGAGUCCACAUGUUCACAUGAUUAAAGGUAUUCCGGUAGACGAUGGGGAUGCGUUCCAUUAGAUAGUAGGCGGGGUAACGGCCCACCUAGUCUUCGAUGGAUAGGGGUUCUGAGAGGAAGGUCCCCCACAUUGGAACUGAGACACGGUCCAAACUCCUACGGGAGGCAGCAGUGAGGAAUAUUGGUCAAUGGGCGAGAGCCUGAACCAGCCAAGUAGCGUGAAGGAUGACUGCCCUAUGGGUUGUAAACUUCUUUUAUAAAGGAAUAAAGUCGGGUAUGCAUACCCGUUUGCAUGUACUUUAUGAAUAAGGAUCGGCUAACUCCGUGCCAGCAGCCGCGGUAAUACGGAGGAUCCGAGCGUUAUCCGGAUUUAUUGGGUUUAAAGGGAGCGUAGAUGGAUGUUUAAGUCAGUUGUGAAAGUUUGCGGCUCAACCGUAAAAUUGCAGUUGAUACUGGAUAUCUUGAGUGCAGUUGAGGCAGGCGGAAUUCGUGGUGUAGCGGUGAAAUGCUUAGAUAUCACGAAGAACUCCGAUUGCGAAGGCAGCCUGCUAAGCUGCAACUGACAUUGAGGCUCGAAAGUGUGGGUAUCAAACAGGAUUAGAUACCCUGGUAGUCCACACGGUAAACGAUGAAUACUCGCUGUUUGCGAUAUACUGCAAGCGGCCAAGCGAAAGCGUUAAGUAUUCCACCUGGGGAGUACGCCGGCAACGGUGAAACUCAAAGGAAUUGACGGGGGCCCGCACAAGCGGAGGAACAUGUGGUUUAAUUCGAUGAUACGCGAGGAACCUUACCCGGGCUUAAAUUGCAGAUGAAUUACGGUGAAAGCCGUAAGCCGCAAGGCAUCUGUGAAGGUGCUGCAUGGUUGUCGUCAGCUCGUGCCGUGAGGUGUCGGCUUAAGUGCCAUAACGAGCGCAACCCUUGUUGUCAGUUACUAACAGGUUCUGCUGAGGACUCUGACAAGACUGCCAUCGUAAGAUGUGAGGAAGGUGGGGAUGACGUCAAAUCAGCACGGCCCUUACGUCCGGGGCUACACACGUGUUACAAUGGGGGGUACAGAGGGCCGCUACCACGCGAGUGGAUGCCAAUCCCAAAAACCUCUCUCAGUUCGGACUGGAGUCUGCAACCCGACUCCACGAAGCUGGAUUCGCUAGUAAUCGCGCAUCAGCCACGGCGCGGUGAAUACGUUCCCGGGCCUUGUACACACCGCCCGUCAAGCCAUGGGAGCCGGGGGUACCUGAAGUGCGUAACCGCGAGGAGCGCCCUAGGGUAAAACUGGUGACUGG